rnacentral:rRNA from 1 species
UGGCGAACGGGUGAGUAACACGUGGGUAAUCUGCCCUGCACUCUGGGAUAAGCCUGGGAAACUGGGUCUAAUACUGGAUAUGACCUUUCUCCUUAUGGGGUUUGGUGGAAAGUUUUUCGGUGUAGGAUGAUCCCGCGGCCUAUCAGCUUGUUGGUGGGGUGAUGGCCUACCAAGGCGACGACGGGUAGCCGGCCUGAGAGGGUGAUCGGCCACAUUGGGACUGAGAUACGGCCCAG